CGGCGGAGCAGUCUGAGCCCGACGAUGAGGCCGGGGACGGGAGCUGAGCGUGGAGGCCUCAUGAUGGGGCACCCUGGCAUGCAUUAUGCCCCAAUGGGAAUGCACCCUAUGGGUCAGAGAGCGAAUAUGCCUCCUGUACCUCAUGGAAUGAUGCCGCAGAUGAUGCCCCCUAUGGGAGGGCCACCAAUGGGACAAAUGCCUGGAAUGAUGUCGUCAGUAAUGCCUGGAAUGAUGAUGUCUCAUAUGUCUCAGGCUUCCAUGCAGCCUGCCUUACCGCCAGGAGUAAAUAGUAUGGAUGUAGCAGCAGGUACAGCAUCUGGUGC
rnacentral:lncRNA from 1 species